rnacentral:rRNA from 1 species
CAAUAGCGUAUAUUAAAGUCGUUGCAGUUAAAAAGCUCGUAGUUGGAUUUGUGGUGUACUUCGGCGGCCCGUCACUAUGUGAUGGAGCUUGCUGAAGUCGCCAUCCUUGGGUGGAUCCUGUGUGGCAUUAAGUUGUCGUGCAGGGGAUGCCCAUCGUUUACUGUGAAAAAAUUAGAGUGUUCAAAGCAGGCUUAUGCCGUUGAAUAUAUUAGCAUGGAAUAAUAAGAUAGGACCUUGGUACUAUUUUGUUGGUUUGCGCACCAAGGUAAUGAUUAAUAGGGACAGUUGGGGGUAUUCGUAUUUCAUUGUCAGAGGUGAAAUUCUUGGAUUUUUGAAAGACGAACUACUGCGAAAGCAUUUACCAAGGAUGUUUUCAUUAA